rnacentral:rRNA from 1 species
UACGGAGGGGGCUAGCGUUGUUCGGAAUUAUUGGGCGUAAAGGGCGCGUAGGCGGCCGACUAAGUCUGACGUGAAAUCCCCCGGCCCAACCGGGGAACUGCGUUUGAUACUGUUUGGCUCGAGUCCGGGAGAGGGUAGUGGAAUUCCCAGUGUAGCGGUGAAAUGCGUAGAUAUUGGGAGGAACACCGGUGGCGAAGGCGGCUACCUGGACCGGUACUGACGCUGAGGCGCGAAAGCUAGGGUAGCAAACAGG